rnacentral:rRNA from 1 species
CCCGCUCAGAAACUUAAGGAAUUGACGGGGGCCCGCACAAGCGGUGGAGUAUGUGGUUUAAUUCGACGCAACGCGCAGACCUUACCUGGUCUUGACAUCUCGGGAAUCAUUUGGAAACAUAUGAGUGCCUCGCAAGAGGAGCCCGAUGACAGGUGCUGCAUGGCUGUCGUCAGCUCGUGUCGUGAGAUGUUGGGUUAAGUCCCGCAACGAGCGCAACCCUUGUCUUUAGUUGCCAUCAUUAAGUUGGGCACUCUAAAGAGACUGCCGGUGUCAAACCGGAGGAAGGUGGGGAUGACGUCAAGUCCUCAUGGCCUUUAUGACCAGGGCUACACACGUACUACAAUGGCAGGUACAAAGGGCAGCCACUUAGCGAUAAGGAGCGAAUCCCGUAAAACCUGUCUCAGUCCGGAUUGGAGUCUGCAACUCGACUCCAUGAAGUUGGAAUCGCUAGUAAUCGUAGAUCAGCACGCUACGGUGAAUACGUUCCCGGGCCUU